AUUGAACGCUGGCGGCAGGCCUAACACAUGCAAGUCGAGCGGAUGAAGGGAGCUUGCUCCUGGAUCCAGCGGCGGACGGGUGAGUAAUGCCUAGGAAUCUGCCUGGUAGUGGGGGAUAACGUCCGGAAACGGGCGCUAAUACCGCAUACGUCCUGAGGGAGAAAGUGGGGGAUCUUCGGACCUCACGCUAUCAGAUGAGCCUAGGUCGGAUUAGCUAGUUGGUGGGGUAAAGGCCUACCAAGGCGACGAUCCGUAACUGGUCUGAGAGGAUGAUCAGUCACACUGGAACUGAGACACGGUCCAGACUCCUACGGGAGGCAGCAGUGGGUAAUAUUGGACAAUGGGCGAAAGCCUGAUCCAGCCAUGCCGCGUGUGUGAAGAAGGUCUUCGGAUUGUAAAGCACUUUAAGUUGGGAGGAAGGGCAGUAAGUUAAUACCUUGCUGUUUUGACGUUACCAACAGAAUAAGCACCGGCUAACUUCGUG
rnacentral:rRNA from 1 species